rnacentral:snRNA from 1 species
AGCUUUGCGCAGUGGCAGUAUCGUAGCCAAUGAGGUUUAUCCGAGGCGCGAUUAUUGCUAAUUGAUUAUUGCUAAUUGAAAACCCAGAUAAACAUGCAAAAGAGGCAAAUGAGUGUGUGCAUGUAAUUAAUUA